UACGUAGGGUGCGAGCGUUAAUCGGAAUUACUGGGCGUAAAGCGUGCGCAGGCGGUUUUGUAAGUCAGAUGUGAAAUCCCCGGGCUUAACCUGGGAACUGCGUUUGAAACUACAAGGCUAGAGUGUAGCAGAGGGGGGUGGAAUUCCACGUGUAGCAGUGAAAUGCGUAGAGAUGUGGAGGAACACCGAUGGCGAAGACAGCCCCCUGGGUUAACACUGACGCUCAGGCACGAAAGCGUGGGGAGCAAACAGG
rnacentral:rRNA from 1 species